AGGACAUUCCUUGAAACAAGCAGAAAGUGCCCAUCAGAAUGGAGAAUAGAAAAAGUAAAGAAUUUGCCGAAGCAGCAAAACGGGAGCGAUUGUGGUGUUUUCAUGUGUCAGUAUGCUGUUUGUGAAGCCUUUGGCAUAGACAUCAAAUUUACACAGAAUAACAUCCCCGAAAUCAGAGAAGGAAUGAAAGUUGAAUGUCUCAUUGGACAGUUAUUAAAUAGGUUUUAAAAAGAAAACGUCACAAACUUCUUUAGCUGGUGAAGUUCUGUCAUCAUCUGUCUAUUUGUAUAUGCUUCAAAUUUCUUCAUACAACCUGUCAGCUCACAAACUGAUGAACUUGAUGAAGAUAUGUUUCAGAAGGAUUAUACUGUGAUUUAUAAAUGCCUUAAGUAUUUUAUAUAUUAAGAUACUCAUUAAGCAUUGACCUUUGUGCUUACAUUUCUUUGUGAAUUUAUAUUCCUGUAUUUCACUUUGUUAAAAAGUAUAUUGCCAUUAACUUGUAAGAUAUGUAUAUAUUUUUAAUUAGUUGUGAUACAUUUCUUCUGUUUACAAGCAUUUAUAAUACAUAUAUCCAGAAUAUGUUAUUAUAACUAAGACACACAUGAGUUGCACACAUAACACUGGAUAUUUUGUAAAUAUUUCUUUUCACUACAAGUAGAAUGUCAAAAAGGUAGACCUUAAUACAGUAGGUAUUUAUUAUUAUUAUUAUAAAGUUACGUAAAGUUAAAUAGUGCCAUCAUAAAAUUUUAUCUACAUUAAGUAUUUGUACAUUUAAACAGCAGACAUGAGCAACAUCAAUUGCUGAAGGUACUAAAGUUUUUUUAAUAAAUAGAGCUGGAAGAUAUGUUCAAGUUAUUUCUUUCUUUCUACGGACAUUACAAACAAAGCAGGGGUUAUAAACCAUUUAACAUUUAACAAACUGGGCACUCUUGCACAAUUUGGUACAUGAAUUUUCUGGUGAAAACUAUUAACCAUUUUGUAUGGAUUUUUUACAACUGAAAGCUCUUAAUACCCCCUGAUUCCGAUAUAUAUUGGGAAAAUGCACCACACAUCUAUUUUCAUGUUUGGUAAAAAUAUUGCAGAGAUCUUUACCUUUGAUUUUAGGAAAAAUGUGAAGUAUGACCUUAUUGUUACAUUUCAGUUUGUAGCAGCUUUUUUCACAUUUUAUGAAUAAUUUACAUGUUAAUGACAAACUUGAGCAAUGUUCAAAGCAUUUUGAACUUUUGUUAAUGUGUGCAUCUUCAUUAUUAUUACAUGGAGUGCUAAAACAUUUUUAAAUGUAGCAUUACUUUGUAUCUUUUUACUCUUGAUCCAUUGUGUGAUCAUUUGUAAUCAAUGUUCAUUGGAAGGUUUUGCAAAAUUAUGCAAUCUAUGACAUACACAGUCAUUUUCACAUAAGAGGUAUGUAGGUGCAUUUUUAGCUCACCUGAGCAAUACUUGGGUGAGUUUUUGUGAUCGCUGGAUGUCCGGUAUCUGUCUGUCUGUCAACAUUUAGCUUGUGUCUAGUACAAUAGAAGAUAAUGACUUGAAUCUUAAAAUGUAUCUUUAUCAUCAUCCUGUGCAUGUGAGGUAACAAUCCCUUUACCUCUGAUUUGUAUUUUUGACCAAAUUACGCCCUUUUAAUACUUAAAUAUUUUGACAAACUACGUUUUAUGGAAAUGACAUUAUAAUGACAAACUUUGUUUUCUGGACAUGACAUUGAAACUAAAUAAGGUAAUGAAAUGAAACUCAAAAUAUAUCUUUUCCAUCAUCACCAUUACCCCUUCCAUACUUGACCUUUAACCCCUUUGAGUAGUAGAUUCUUUUUAUGUCUUGGUGUAUCUUCCUUUUAAAGUAGAGGUCUCUUAUUUGGACAUAAAUUCAUUUUUCUGUCAAAUCGCCAAGUAGUCUUACGGACAGCUCUUGUUGUUUUAGGACUUUACAAUAUUGCUUCUGUAUGUUGUCUUUUCAUUUGGUUUCAUGCCAUUUUAUACAAAUUUCUGUUGACGUUAUCAGGAUUGAGUGGAAGUGGAUAUGUUCAUGUUAUGGCUUUUUUUGGAAGACAACUUCAUAAACACUCGAAAGAGUCAGAUAUUAAUUAUGUCAUUACCUAACCAGUGGACACAUUCUUAAAAUAAUAUUUAUUCUGUUAUUGUUAUUUAUAGUAUUACAUAUUGUUAAACACCUGUUGAUUUUG
rnacentral:lncRNA from 1 species